AAGGCAGAGAGGCUUAAGCGGUGGGAUUUGUUAUUUUGUGUGUUUUGCAGUUUAGUCCUUGUUUUUAUCAUAUUCACGAUUAGGUCCUUAGGGUUUACAUAUAGGUCCUCAGAUUCUUUUUUUUUUUUUUUGAACAUAUCUCCCAAAUCUUAAAAAUAAGUUACCUCUGAUUCAUACUCUAUUUCUUUUGUCAAUUUAAAAUAGAUGCUUACAUUAUCACCAGAAAUUUAUAUGAAAAUUCGGAAAUGAGGGGUGUUACAGUUUCGCCCGCGGGAGCAGCGAUGGGAGGCGCCGCUGCCCUGCGGCGCCUAUGCCCAUCAGCUGCCAGCCCCUCCGGUAGCAGGCCUGCUGCAAGCAGGCCGCCGGCUGGCUGUUGCAGACGCAGCCCCUGUGCUGCCUGCCUUCGGCUGCGCUUCACGCACGCAGAUCGAGGGCAGCAACUGUUGCUGCCCUUUCUUGCUUUUGCGUCAACGAUUUUGACGUCAAUAUUCUUCCUAAACACAACACACGCAGUUCAAAACUAAUCAUUCGCACGAACAACCUGGCUCUGAUACCACUGUUGGGAAAUCUUGGGGGCGACAUCACAUGCGCAGCGGAAGAACAAGAAAACAAAAUCCCCGAUUCCCAAAGAG
rnacentral:lncRNA from 1 species